AGUUUCAAAGACAAAGGUGCUUUUCAUCGAUGAAUUUGAUGAAAAUGAGGUCUUAUAUAAAUGAAUUUUAACACGAUAAGCAUGAGAGGAUUCCAAGAAAUCAAAAUGUGUAUUAGAGUGGAUUGCAAGAAAUGUGGGAAAUAUUCAUGGGCAGGUUGUGGAAAGCACUUGACCUCACUUUAUGCAAAUAUUGAAAAAGGGAAGCAUUGUAUGUGCAAAGAUUGGCCUGGUGUGGCUAUCCCACCACCAGAUGAUCAAGAUCCACCAUCAUCAUCAUCAUCAUCAUCUUCAACCACAAAAGACGCAGAACCAUCGGCAGCCUGAAGACUUCUCACGUUCCCAAGCUAUGAAUAAUUGGAUAUAUGUGUACGGUCACAUUACGCCAUUUGUAUGAUUAAUUUAUGUUUUCCCAAGUUUUUCAUUUCAAAAUAAAUUAUAAUAUUUGUGCACUAUUGUGUUGGUGCGCAAACUGAGCUGGUCAAUAGCCAUUGACCAAGCAGCUUCUCAUUUAAUUUAAGAUUUCAUAUCUGUAUUA